UACGGAGGGAGCUAGCGUUAUUCGGAAUUACUGGGCGUAAAGCGCACGUAGGCGGCUUUGUAAGUUAGAGGUGAAAGCCUGGAGCUCAACUCCAGAAUUGCCUUUAAGACUGCAUCGCUUGAAUCCAGGAGAGGUGAGUUGGAAUUCCGAGUGUAGAGGUGAAAUUCGUAGAUAUUCGGAAGAACACCAGUGGCGAAGGCGGCUCACUGGACUGGUAUUGACGCUGAGGUGCGAAAGCGUGGGGAGCAAACAGG
rnacentral:rRNA from 1 species